rnacentral:rRNA from 1 species
AUACGGGAGGCAGCAGUGGGGAAUAUUGGACAAUGGGCGCAAGCCUGAUCCAGCCAUGCCGCGUGCAGGAUGACGGUCCUAUGGAUUGUAAACUGCUUUUGCACAGGAAGAAACACUACUUCGUGAAGUAGCUUGACGGUACUGUGAGAAUAAGGAUCGGCUAACUCCGUGCCAGCAGCCGCGGUAAUACGGAGGAUCCAAGCGUUAUCCGGAAUCAUUGGGUUUAAAGGGUCCGUAGGCGGUCUUAUAAGUCAGUGGUGAAAUCUCCCCGCUCAACGGGGAAACGGCCAUUGAUACUGUAGGACUUGAAUUAUUAGGAAGUAACUAGAAUAUGUAGUGUAGCGGUGAAAUGCUUAGAGAUUACAUGGAAUACCAAUUGCGAAGGCAGGUUACUACUAAUGGAUUGACGCUGAUGGACGAAAGCGUGGGUAGCGAACAGGAUUAGAAACCCGUGUAGUCCU